rnacentral:rRNA from 1 species
AUUGAACGCUGGCGGCAUGCUUUACACAUGCAAGUCGAACGGUAACAGGCCUUCGGGUGCUGACGAGUGGCGAACGGGUGAGUAAUGCAUCGGAACGUACCCAGAGGUGGGGGAUAACGCAGCGAAAGCUGGGCUAAUACCGCAUGUGAUCUGAGGAUGAAAGCGGGGGACCGAGCAGCAAUGUUUGGCCUCGCGCCUUUGGAGCGGCCGAUGUCGGAUUAGCUAGUUGGUGGGGUAAAGGCCUACCAAGGCGACGAUCCGUAGCUGGUCUGAGAGGACGACCAGCCACGCUGGGACUGAGACACGGCCCAGACUCCUACGGGAGGCAGCAGUGGGGAAUUUUGGACAAUGGGCGCGAGCCUGAUCCAGCAAUGCCGCGUGCGGGAAGAAGGCCUUCGGGUUGUAAACCGCUUUUGGCAGGAACGAAACGGUGUCCGCUAAUACCGGGCGCUAAUGACGGUACCUGCAGAAUAAGCACCGGCUAACUACGUG